GUCCUUUUGUGGUUCUUAAGUGUGAUGAUUGGGUGUUCACCUGCAUGUGUGACAUGUGCUGCCCUCGAAUCUUGUUACACACUGGCACAUUACCAAUCUGAUG